AGCCAUCUGAAUCUGUGCUGAGAUUUCGUCAGAUACUAGACCGUCAUUACUGAUGAGACUCAAUAAAAUUUAGAUGGUC
rfam:Schistosoma curassoni strain Dakar, Senegal genome assembly, scaffold: SCTD_scaffold0002121